UUACAAAACAUUAGCUAUACAACAAUGAAUAUAAAUUUUAUAGGGAGAUCCUGAAAUGAGAGAAGAUCCUGAAUUCCCUAAGGCAAUGAUGGAAGAAAUAUUAGCUACGAACACCUCAAUCGAUGGGGGGACUUUACAAGGUACUUAUGUCUUUUAUCCAAACAAAACAAAACCUAAAAUGUGGAUUGGAAAUUAUAAAGUUGUUAAUCCUGAAGACAUUAUCUGCAAAACUGUAGCAGAAAAAAUAGGACUAACUGAGGAAGAAUGGAGAAAUUAUAUAAAGAAUAAGCAAAUAAAUGAGAAAGGAGAUGAUAAAACAAAAGUAAAUGCUAAUUUUGAUGAAAUAACUUGCGAAAUACCUAUAGAAUUAAAGGAAAAUUUAGAAAAAGCAAAUAUCGAUUAUGUAACUAUGGAAAACAACAAUAUACCAUAUUACGACGAAAGUGAGUUCAUACAAGACCCAGACAUUUUGAAUAAAAUAUAUAACAGCUUGAAUAAUUCUAAUUUGGAAAAUUUACAUGAAGAUAGUUAUUUAAUGAAUGGCUAUACUGUUGAUAAGAGUUUAUAUUUGGAUAAUGCAGCAAACGAAGAGGAAGAUGAAGAAACGGUCAAUCAAGAAGAGAUCGAAGUAGAAAGUGAAAAAAAACAAAUGAAGUAAAGGAAAAUGCUAAAAUAGUAAAAAAGAUGAGUAAAAGCAGUAGUUAUGUUAAUAAAUUAAAUAAAUUAACAAAAAACUGUGAAUGU
rnacentral:lncRNA from 1 species